CCGAGUUGUAAUUUGUAGAGGAUGCUUCGGGCGUGGCCGCGGUCUAAGUCCCCUGGAACGGGGCGUCGCAGAGGGUGAGAAUCCCGUCUUCGGCCGGCCGGCUUCGCCCGUGUGAAGCUCCUUCGACGAGUCGAGUUGUUUGGGAAUGCAGCUCUUAAUGGGUGGUAAAUUUCAUCUAAAGCUAAAUACUGGUCGGAGACCGAUAGCGCACAAGUCGAGUGAUCGAAAGAUGAAAAGCACUUUGAAAAGAGAGUUAAACAGCAUGUGAAAUUGUUGAAAGGGAAGCGCUUGCGACCAGAGUCGGCCGCGGGGGUUCAGCGGGCAUUCGUUGCCCGUGCACUCCCCCGUGGCCGGGCCAGCGUCGGUUUCGACGGCCGGUCAAAGGCCCCCGGAAUGUGUCGUCCUCCGGGACGUCUUAUAGCCGGGGGUGCAAUGCGGCCAGUCGGGACCGAGGAACGCGCUUCGGCACGGACGCUGGCUUAAUGGUAGUAAGCGACCCGUCUUGAAACACGGACCAAGGAGUCUAACAUCCACGCGAGUGUUCCGGUGUCAAACCCGUCCGCGCAGCAAAAGCGAACGGAGGUGGGAACCCUUAAGGGUGCACCAUCGACCGAUCCUGAAGUCUUCGGAUGGAUUUGAGUAAGA
rnacentral:rRNA from 1 species